rfam:Neocallimastix californiae strain G1 LY90scaffold_446, whole genome shotgun sequence.
AGCGGCGUAGCGCAGUGGAAGCGUGGUGGGCUCAUAACCCACAGAUAGUAUGAUCGAAACAUACCACUACUA